rnacentral:lncRNA from 1 species
AUGAACUGCACAGGGGAUGCCACGGCAGAUCGACUCUCGGCCCGUUGCUAUGGUAACGUGUCGGGUCAUCCUGUGGAGGUACGCAUGUCUCGCUCCCAUAGGCCACACAGGAGGCUGUGCUACGGGCUAUCGCUCGCUUACGUCAGCCUCGGGGCUCAAGCCAAGGGCUGUUACAGCCCGAACGGCCACACUGAGCUCAGAACCAACCUCACUCAUUCCUCUGAGCUGCUGCGGAGGCUUUUGGGAAUACCCACUAAAUGUGGUCUGCGGCUCCUGCUCAGGCCUGGGCCUCAAAGGAAGUCCCUGGGUGUUAGUUUGGUGGCAGGCCCGUGGAAGAUGGAUUCUAGCGUGGGGCUGAGGGUGGAGAGGCCUGGGCUGUACGGCUGGCAUGGGCUGCUUGACUAUGGGACCCCCAGCGUUGCGCACAAGGCUGAGGUCAAAGGUCAGGUGAGGUUGAAAAGCCUGUGUCACAUCUGGGCAGACGUCAGCGUGAUGUGGGACUCGGUCAUCUCCAGUCUGUUGCUUUCUGUCCAGUGUAAAGGUGUGGGGAAACUGGUGUGGGUGCAGGCUACAGACAUUCAGGGAGGUGUGACGCAUAGAACAGUUUUAACCAUACGCGGACAAGCAGCGGAAGAUGGACUCAAGGGAUCUCUGGCUCUAGUGAGUGGGCAGGACUCCCUCCAGUGCCUCUUGUCUGUUCUGCUAAAGGACCAAAAGGCUGAAGUCAGUUGGAUCCUUCAUCACAACUGGGCCUCUGUUGCCCUCAUCAUGCCAAAGAGAGUGGAGCUCCAGGGUUCAGGUCAGCUUCUCAGUACCUCCUUCUCUGGAAGCGCUCGACUCUCGUGUGACGCACGCGUCGCACAGAUGGACGUGACCUGGGAGCGCUCGAAUUCGUUCAGGGUCGUACUUCACCAAAACACGGCCUCGGCUGCUUCACCAGGGCUGCUCAUCGUUAGCGUGUUGAGCACAGGCAGCCGCGUCCAGCUCGAGGUGGAAGGCGACGCGUGCUCCCUGCUUCUCCUCACGAACCAGCAUGCGGGAGCAGAGGACGGGAGGACUAGCUGGAGCGUUUACGCCCAGCAGCGAUGUGACUUAAUGAAGGUUAGAGAGGAAACAAGAAAAUGGGAUCGGAAACUUGUUUCCCAUCAGAAGGAAAGCUGUAGAAACAUCUUCACCUCGGAGAUGACUCUUAUCUUUCCAUUACAGAACAUUUAUCUACCUACCGGUGUGUGUGUGUGUGUGUGUGUGUGUGUGUGUGUGUGUGUGUGUGUGUGUGUGAGAGAGAGAGAGAGACAGACAGACAGAAUAAUCUGGCUUCUAAUUGUUCUUUUUCUUUCCCGUAGACUGUCCUGCCCCCUCAGAGCUCAAUCGACAUCUCCGUCUCCCGUUCUGGCAGCAGCACAAGUGUCAGUACUGUCCUCCAGGCUGAGGGAAAACAAAACGCCAGUCUCAUGCUGCACCUUGCUCAUCAGCCAAGCCUCACGGUCAGAGCAUCGCUCCAGAAUUCUAUAG